AGAGUUUGAUCAUGGCUCAGAACGUACGUGGCGGCACGCCUAACACAUGCAAGUCGAACGAAGUAGCAAUACUUAGUGGCAGACGGGUGAGUAACAUGUAGGUAUCUGCCCUUUGGCCUGGAAUAACACGAGGAAACUUGUGCUAAUACCGGAUAAGUCUUUACGGAGAAAGCUUUAUGCACCAUUGGAUGAGCCUGCACUUGAUUAGUUUGUUGGUGGGGUAAUGGCCUACCAAGACUUUGAUCAAUAGCUGAUUUGAGAGGAUGAUCAGCCACAUUGGGACUGAGACACGGCCCAAGCUCCUACGGGAGGCAGCAGUGGGGAAUCUUGCACAAUGGAGGAAACUCUGAUGCAGCGAUGCCGCGUGAGUGAAGAAGGCCCUUGGGUUGUAAAGCUCUUUCGUCGGGGAAGAAAAUGACUGUACCCGAAUAAGAAGGUCCGGCUAACUUCGUGCCAGCAGCCGCGGUAAUUC
rnacentral:rRNA from 1 species